rnacentral:rRNA from 1 species
UACGUAGGGUGCGAGCGUUAAUCGGAAUUACUGGGCGUAAAGCGUGCGCAGGCGGUCUGUUAAGACCGAUGUGAAAUCCCCGGGCUUAACCUGGGAACUGCAUUGGUGACUGGCAGGCUUUGAGUGUGGCAGAGGGAGGUAGAAUUCCACGUGUAGCAGUGAAAUGCGUAGAGAUGUGGAGGAAUACCGAUGGCGAAGGCAGCCUCCUGGGCCAACACUGACGCUCAUGCCCGAAAGCGUGGGGAGCAAACAGG